rnacentral:rRNA from 1 species
CCCUUAGAUGUUCUGGGCCGCACGCGCGCUACACUGAUGCAUUCAACGAGUUUCUUCCUGGUCCGAGAGGAAUGGGUAACCUUUUGAAAGUGCAUCGUGAUAGGGAUAGUCUAUUGCAAUUAUUGGUCUUCAACGAGGAAUUCCUAGUAGACGUAGUUCAUCAGACUGCAUCGAUUACGUCCCUGCCCUUUGUACACACCGCCCGUCGCUCCUACCGAUUGAAUGCUCAGGUGAGCCAUUCGGACUUUCAUCAUGCUGGUUUCCAGUUUUGAUGAAGGAAAGUCUUGCGAACCUUAUCAUUUAGAGGAAGGAGAAGUCGUAACA